GCCCCCGCGUAUCCUAACGGGCUUUGCGGAGGCUAUUUUUUAUAACUUACAUAUUAGGAGUUUAUAGUGGCCCGUAUAGCUGGUAUUAACGUUCCUGAU
rnacentral:sRNA from 2 species